rnacentral:rRNA from 1 species
GAUGAACGCUGGCGGCGUGCCUAAUACAUGCAAGUCGAGCGAACAGACGAGGAGCUUGCUCCUCUGACGUUAGCGGCGGACGGGUGAGUAACACGUGGAUAACCUACCUAUAAGACUGGGAUAACUUCGGGAAACCGGAGCUAAUACCGGAUAACAUGUUGAACCGCAUGGUUUAACAGUGAAAGACGGUCUUGCUGUCACUUAUAGAUGGAUCCGCGCCGCAUUAGCUAGUUGGUAAGGUAACGGCUUACCAAGGCAACGAUGCGUAGCCGACCUGAGAGGGUGAUCGUCCACACUGGAACUGAGACACGGUCCAGACUCCUACGGGAGGCAGCAGUAGGGAAUCUUCCGCAAUGGGCGAAAGCCUGACGGAGCAACGCCGCGUGAGUGAAGAAGGUCUUCGGAUCGUAAAACUCUGUUAUUAGGGAAGAACAAAUGUGUAAGUAACUAUGCACGUCUUGACGGUACCUAAUCAGAAAGCCACGGCUAACUACGU